rnacentral:rRNA from 1 species
UACAGAGGUCUCAAGCGUUGUUCGGAUUCAUUGGGCGUAAAGGGUGCGUAGGCGGCGCGGUAAGUCGGGUGUGAAAUCUUGGAGCUUAACUCCGAAACUGCAUUCGAUACUGCGGUGCUUGAGGACUGGAGAGGAGACUGGAAUUUACGGUGUAGCAGUGAAAUGCGUAGAGAUCGUAAGGAAGACCAGUGGCGAAGGCGGGUCUCUGGACAGUUCCUGACACUGAGACACGAAGGCCAGGGGAGCAAACGGG